rnacentral:lncRNA from 1 species
AUACAACGAAGUUAUUUACAGGCUGUGAAAGAUACUAAAUCUUUUCAGAGUAAUAUUACAUUGGAUCACAAAUUCUCACUUUUAAUAAUAAUUGACAACAAACUAAAGCUAAGGAUACUCACAAUUAGUAACAACAACACAUAAUGCUCUCCCAGUGCCUUGUAUCUUCAAGACCCUAUGCAUUCAUAAGCUGCCGAAGCCUUAUUAACUUUUACUUUGGAAGGAUGUUAAAUAUUGUUAUCUCCAUUUUACAGAUGGUGAAAGAGGCUCAGUAGGAUUGUGACUUGCCUAAAUGCCUUGGAAAAGUUUAAUUGCAGAAGCAAGACCAGAGCUGGCGAGCUCUUGGUUCCCAGUUGUGUGAGAGAGCAAAACACGCAUUUAAAAGCAUCCUGUGCCGUAGGAAUCCCAAUUCCAGUGAACAUCAGGGCUUGAAGAGCACUGGGGCAGUGUGGCUCUUCAGGGGCCUUUUGGGCUCCCAGCUCCCAUUAACUUUGAGUGAUUUUGGAGCUCUUGAAAACUCCUUUCAGUCCUUUGAGAGAAAUGCACAACACCUGUGAUUCAUAGAUGAAAUGGAGAGGCAGAGCAAAGGCUCAGAGCUAUGGCCAGGCCCAUGUGCAGCUCCGCUGCCAUUCAGAAGCUGUCAGGCUGAGAGCUGAGCAAGUCCUCCCAGGCUGAAGAGCCGGGGAGAGGCGGUGGUGCUGCCAGCUCUCCUCACUGACAUGAUUUCCUCGGGAGCAGAGCCAGGAAAGAUCUGAAGGCAGAGCUCCACCCCUCUUGUAAAACUCAGCUCUUGCCAUCAGGAGGAAAACCUCUUCGCCUGGCCCCCUGUGCCUUGCCCUCCACCUCCAGGAGAAGGCAACAUCUCAGGAGAGAAACUAGAAAUUGCAUGGAGGAAGACCAGCUCCCAAAAAACACUGGUGAAAAGGGAAAGAAAUACUUGGAUGGGAGAGAGGACACCAAAAGCAUGGACAGAGUCGGAUUCCUUUAGGUUGUGAGAAGGAUGGUGAACAUUCACCUUCAGGGCAUGAAGAGAUGGGUGUUUGGAGAAGAAUGGCUGGUAUGCACUUACUCUCCAGCCUCUGGGGUCUCCUCCUGCUUGGUACCU